AAACUUUUUGUAAGGACUAUUAAUUUCACCAUAAUUACCAUAAAAAAAUAAUCAAAAGGGAAUUAUGGUAUAAU
rnacentral:sRNA from 1 species